rnacentral:rRNA from 1 species
AUUGAACGCUGGCGGCAUGCCUUACACAUGCAAGUCGAACGGUAACAGGUCUUCGGAUGCUGACGAGCGGCGAACGGGUGAGUAAUACAUCGGAACGUGCCUAGUAGUGGGGGAUAACUACUCGAAAGAGUGGCUAAUACCGCAUGAGAUCUACGGAUGAAAGCAGGGGAUCGCAAGACCUUGUGCUACUAGAGCGGCCGAUGGCAGAUUAGGUAGUUGGUGGGAUAAAAGCUUACCAAGCCGACGAUCUGUAGCUGGUCUGAGAGGACGAUCAGACAAACUGGGACUGAGAAACGGCCCAGACUCCUACGGGAGGCAGCAGGGGGGAAUUUUGGACAAUGGGCGAAAGCCUGAUCCAGCAAUGCCGCGUGCAGGAUGAAGGCCUUCGGGUUGUAAACUGCUUUUGUACGGAACGAAAAGCCCCGGGUUAAUACCCUGGGGUCAUGACGGUACCGUAAGAAUAAGCACCGGCUAACUACGUGCCAGCCGCCGCAGUAA